UCAGCAUGAAGUUCAACCCCUUCGUUACCUCAGACCGCAGCAAAAACCGCAAAAGCCACUUCAAUGCGCCCUUGCACAUGCGCAGGAAGAUUAUGUCUUCCCCACUCUCCGAGGAGCUGCGGCGGAAGUACAGCGUCCGCUCCAUGCCCAUCCGCAAGGACGACGAGGUCCAGGUGGUUCGAGGACACUACAAAGGUCAGCAAAUUGGCAAGGUGGUCCAGGUGUACAGAAAGAAAUAUGUCAUCUACAUCGGGCGGGUGCAGCGUGAGAAGGCUAAUGGGACAACUGUGCAUGUGGGCAUUCAUCCGAGCAAGGUGGUUAUUACCAGGCUAAAGCUGGACAAAGAUGGGAAGAAAAUUCUCAAACGCAAAGCCAAAUCUCGACAGGUUGGAAAAGAGAAAGGCAAAUAUAAGGAAGAACUUAUUGAGAAAAUGCAGGAGUGAAUGUAACCUGUUGUGCAAGCACAGUUUAACUGUAGACCUUUAGCCUGGUGUGUGUUUCUUUGAAACUUUUCAAGACAUCUGCCAAACAUUUCAUCUCCUUCCUGUUUUGCUAUUGAUAAUGUAGCUUUGUAAAUCCACUUUUGCUGUUUUGAUUAAUAAUUUUAUGAAUAACAAUUGAAAAUGUUUCCUAAUUCCACGGGGAGUUUGCAUUGUUUUAUAGAUAAAAUCCAUCUUACUAUCAAAAAAAA